rnacentral:rRNA from 1 species
AGCAGUAGCCGCGGGAAUACGUAGGCAGCAAGCGUUGUUCGGAGUUACUGGGCGUAAAGGGUGCGUAGGCGGUUCUAUAAGUAUGGUGUGAAAUCUCCCGGCUUAACCGGGAGGGUGCGCUAUAAACUGUGGGACUAGAGUGUGGGAGAGGAAAGUGGAAUUCCUGGUGUAGCGGUGAAAUGCGUAGAUAUCAGGAGGAACACCGGUGGUGUAAACGGCUUUCUGGACCAUAACUGACGCUGAGGCACGAAAGCGUGGGUAGCAAACAGGAUUAGAUACCCCCGUAGUCCCUGUCUCUUAUAC